CAUUAAUAAAUAUUUUAUAACAUUUUAUUUAUAUAUGUAUUGUAUCAAUCAUACACACUGAACUUACAUGCUCUGCCAAUUUUAUAGAUCCAAACUUAUAUUUAUGCUAAUUUAAUAUAUUUUUAGGCAUCUGGUGAAGUUUAUGAUAGUACCAACCCUUAGCUAACAGAAUUGGUGGCAAAAUCAAUGUUGAAAUGGAGUAAAAACAAUGAAACAUGCUUUUGUUAGACUACCUGCAUGAUUUCAAAUUAUUCCAUAUGACAAUGAAACGACUUCUUUGUACAGCUAACGAUAGUUCCAUGAGCAGAUAGUUGUUGAUCUGAUGAUAACAUUUUAUGUGAUUCUUUUAAAACAAGAAUUGGGCCAAAGGGUAGUGUUCAGUUUUAUAGAAAGAUGUUGAACUAAGCGUUGAUUUCAAAUACUGCUAUUUUAAGGAAGGAAGUCAUUUUGAAAUGCAUCAAAUGCAUUUUCACUCAUUAAUCAUAUAUCUUGGUAGCUGCGGAACCGUAUCCCUUAUGUCCUUAUGUGGUUUUUUUUACUAUUUCUGAGGACCAUAGAGCUACGGAUUUUUCCUAUUUCAAAACAUUCUGAAUUGCGACUCAGGUUCAGGUCGCACUUUACACUAUUAUCUGAUUAUUCACAUUUGGAUACAUUUUCCGCCUAUUUUGUUCAGCCAUAUUGAAUCUUGUUGUGACGUCACGAUAAAGAAGAAAAGAUAACUCUUAUUGGAAAACACAUGUUGGUUUGUUUACGUUGUCUUUUAUUGUAAUUUGAAUACUUUUUUUUUUUAAUGAAAUAACUUUUAAUUAAAUUUAAAUACUAAUGGAAAUAAUAAUCCUUCAAAGUUAUUAAAAUAUUUCGUGUGAAAUAAUGUUGUAAAGCAUAAAAAUCACUUGAUUAUUGCUUAGAAAUAAGUAAACAAACUAACGCUUGUCUUCCUAUAAGAGUUAUCUGUUCUUGUUUUUCAUAGGCGUACCUUGGUACAUGUUGUAGUAGUACUGGUUAUGAAAAAAAAAUACAUUGGAAGGUAUGACCAGUAUAUUGUGUUGUGGAGUUAUUAAUGGUUAUGCUGCUGUUAUUUUGCUGUUAUUUUGUUUGACACAUUUGUAUGUAAUAUUUUCUAAACUGUAAAUAUGGUGAAUCACUCGAUAAUGAGUCUAAAUAUAUAAUAUAAAGAUGUUAUACUCUUUGAAACAGUUAGAGAUAUUGUAUAUAAGUUAUUAAAGUCUUUCAGAUAUGUUUGCUGUCUUUCAUAUUAAUUUAAAAUUAAGUGAUACAUUAUUUUUUUAAGUUAAUUUUGUGAUAUCUUUGUCUUUCAUGCAAUGCAAUCUUGGAGAAUAGCUAGAUUAGUUUGUUUAUUGAAUAUUGUUAUAUUGCUUAUAUUUGUAAUUUUUUCAUGCAUAUGUCAAUUUUAUAUAUCAGUAAAAUCUAUCCAGUAGUAUACAAUUUGUCCCCCAGACUUUGUUAUGAAUUUUAAAGUCUUUUUAAUAUGGUAGUUCUCCUAAUGUUGAAAUAUCAUUAUUGAAAUAAUUUCAAAAAUAGGAAAAUCUCAGCCUUAUGUUUGCCUAAAGCAAAUUUUUAGCUCACCUGGCCCGAAGGGCCAAGUGAGCUUUUCUCAUCACUUGGCGUCCGGCGUCCGUCGUCGUCCGUCGUCGUCGUCUGUCGUCGUCCUGCGUCCGGCGUUAACUUUUACAAAAAUCUUCUCCUCUGAAACUACUAGGCCAAAUUUAACCAAACUUGGCCACAAUCAUCAUUGGGGUAUCUAGUUUAAAAAUUGUGUCCGGUGACCCCGCCAACUAACCAAGAUGGCCGCCAUGGCUAUAAAUAGAACAUAGGGGUAAAAUGCAGUUUUUGGCUUAUAACUCAAAAACCAAAGCAUUUAGGGCAAAUCUGACAGGGGGUAAUAUUGUUAAUCAGGUUAAGAUCUAUCUGCUCUGAAAUUUUCAGAUGAAUCUGACAUUCCGUUGUUAGGUUGCUGCCCCUGAAUUGGUAAUUUUAAGGAAAUUUUGAUGUUUUUGGUUAUUAUCUUGAAUAUUAUUUUAGAUAGAGAUAAACUGUAAAAAGCAAUAAUGUUCAGCAAAGUAAGAUCUACAAAUAAGUCAACAUGACCAAAAUGAUCAGUUGACCACUUUAGGAGUUAUUGCCCUUUAUAGUCAAUUUUUAACCAUUUUUCGUAAAUCUUAGUAAUCUUUUAGAAAAAUCUUCUCCUCUGAAACUGCUGGACCAAAUUAUUUGAAACUUGGCCACAAUCAUCUAACCAACUAACCAAGAUGACCGCCAUGGCUAUAAAUAGAACAUAGGGGUAAAAUGCAGUUUUUGGCUUAUAACUCAAAAACCAAAGCAUUUAGAGCAAAUCUGACAUGGAUAAAAUUGUUAAUCAGGUGAAGAUCUAUCUGCCCUGAAAUUUUCAGAUGAAUUGGACAACCUGUUUUUGGGUUGCGGCCCCUGAAUUGUUAAUUUUAAGGAAAUUUUGCUGUUUUUGGUUAUUAUAUUGAAUAUUAUUAUAGAUAUAGGUAAACUGUAAACAGCAAUAAUGUUCAGCAAGGUCAGAGUUACAAAUAAGUCAACAUGACCAAAAUGGUCAGUGACCUCUUUAGGAGUUAUUGCCCUUUAAAGUCAAUUUUUAACCAUUUUUCGUAAAUUUUAUAUAUCUUUUACUAAAAUCUUCUUCUCUGAAACUGCUGUGCCAAAUUGAUCCAAACUUGGCCACAAUCAUCUUUGGGGUUUCUUGUUUAAAAAUGUGUCCGGUGACCUGGCCAUCAAACCAAGAUGGCCGCCACGGCUAAAAAUAGAACAUAGGGGUAAAAUGCAGUUUUUGGCUUAUAACUCAAAAACCAAAUAAUUUAGAGAAAAUCUGACAUGAAGUAAAAUUGUUAAUCAGGUCAAGAUCUAUCUGCCCUGAAAUUUUCAGAUGAAUUGGACAACCUGUUUUUGGGUUGCGGCCCCUGAAUUGGUAAUUUUAAGGACAUUUUGCUGUUUUUGGUUAUUAUAUUGAAUAUUAUUAUAGAUAUAGGUAAACUAUAAACAGCAAUAAUUUUCAGCAAAGUAAGAUCUACAAAUAAGUAAACAUGAACGAAAUGGUCAAUUGACCCCUGUAGGAGUUAUUGACCUUUGUAGUCAAUUUUCAAUCUGCUUCCUUUAUUUAAUAUUCACAUAGACCAAGGUGAGCGACACAGGCUCUUUAGAGCCUCUAGUUUAAUAAAAUUACCAAUAAGUGUCCGAAGAGGUUUUAAAGGUUCUGUGAUUCCAUACUCUCUUUUUUUUUAUGAAUUUCAAUAAGGGCUUAAUUUGGCCCAAUUCGUUUUCAUUGCUAAAUUUGAACUUUGUUUUAGAUUUCUAUUUUGAGAUUGCUUAUAAGUUCGAACUCUUGUGUGUAAAAUUAAAAGCCAAUACAAUUUGAUCCAAGAAGUUAUGAUAAAUGCAGUUGUGUCAUCAAAACAGGGCUCUCACUGGUUCAUAUGAAAAAUAUGUGCUGUCAUUUCAUGCUUAUGUUUUUGAACUGACAAAAUUAAUAGUGUUUAAACAUUGUAAUCCAACCUUUAUGUUUAAAUAAAACAAAUAAUUUAUAAAGUUUAACUUUGCUGCACUUUCAUAGAAACUUUGAAAAAAUGCAUUUAAGGUAUAAUUUGAUUUGCAUUUUUUAUGCCCCACCUACGAUAGUAGAGGGGCAUUAUGUUUUCUGGUCUGUGCGUCCGUCCGUCCAUCUGUCCAUUCGUUCGUCCGUCCGUCUGUCCGUUCGUCCGUCCGUCUGUCCCGCUUCAGGUUAAAGUUUUUGGUCAAGGUAGUUUUUGAUGAAGUUUAAGUCCAAUCGACUUCAAACUUAGUACAAGUGUCCCCUAUGAUAUGAUCUUUCUAAUUUUAAUGCCAAAUUAGAGUUUUUACCCCAAUUUCACGGUCCACUGAACAUGGAAAAUGAUAGUGCGAGUGGGGCAUUCGUGUACUGAGGACACAUUCUUGUUUACAAGAUAUUUUACAGAUCCCUAAUACUCAUUGUACAUCCUUCUUUGUUAUUGUUUUCAUUUGAAAUGAACUAUUGAGGUAUAUUUCACAGAAUUUGUCAUGGGAUGAUGACUUGUCAUGCCAUAAACUUACGAAAUGACAAGGGACAUUUUAUUAAUUUCAUAACAAUCCUCCAAAUAUAAAAAAAUAGAUGUGGUAUGAUUGCCAAUGAGACAACUCUUUAAAAGAGACCAAAUGACACAGAAAUUAACAACUGUAGGUCACUUUACGGGCACAUACUUACAGAAUGUGGCAAGGUUAAACAUGUUAGCAUGAUCUCAACCCUCCUCCUAACCUAGGACAGGGAUGUAACAGUACAAUAUAAAAAUAAACUAUAAAAAUGAGUUGCAAAAGACUAAACUCAUCAGAUGGUUACAAAUAGAAAUACAGAUAAAAAAAGAAUACCAUUUUGGAAAUUAUUGAAUUAACACAAUUUUCAUGCUAUUAUCAUACAGUAAACAUUAAGAGUUAUUUACCCUGACUAU
rnacentral:lncRNA from 1 species